rnacentral:piRNA from 1 species
UCUGUGCACAUUUUGNGGCAAGUAGGAGUG